rnacentral:rRNA from 1 species
ACCUAAUAGAUACCCCGGUAGUCCACGCCCUAAACGAUGCGAACUGGAUGUUGGGUACAUUACGGUACUCAGUGUCGAAAGCUAAACGCGUUAAGUUCGCCGCCUGGGGAGUACGGUCGCAAGACUGAAACUCAAAGGAAUUGACGGGGGCCCGCACAAGCGGUGGAGUAUGUGGUUUAAUUCGAUGCAACGCGAAGAACCUUACCUGGCCUUGACAUCUGUCGAAUCCUGCAGAGAUGCGGGAGUGCCGCAAGGAACGACAAGACAGGUGCUGCAUGGCUGUCGUCAGCUCGUGUCGUGAGAUGUUGGGUUAAGUCCCGCAACGAGCGCAACCCUUGUCCCUAGUUGCCAGCACAUCAUGGUGGGAACUCUAGGGAGACUC